rnacentral:rRNA from 1 species
AACGAACGCUGGCGGCAGGCUUAACACAUGCAAGUCGAACGCCCCGCAAGGGGAGUGGCAGACGGGUGAGUAACGCGUGGGAACAUACCCUUUCCUGCGGAAUAGCUCUGGGAAACUGGAAUUAAUACCGCAUACGCCCUACGGGGGAAAGAUUUAUCGGGGAAGGAUUGGCCCGCGCUGGAUUAGCUAGUUGGUGGGGUAAAGGCCUACCAAGGCGACGAUCCAUAGCUGGUCUGAGAGGAUGAUCAGCCACAUUGGGACUGAGACACGGCCCAAACUCCUACGGGAGGCUGCAGUGGGGAAUAUUGGACAAUGGGCGCAAGCCUGAUCCAGCCAUGCCGCGUGAGUGAUGAAGGCCUUAGGGUUGUAAAGCUCUUUCACCGAUGAAGAUAAUGACGGUAGUCGGAGAAGAAGCCCCGGCUAACUUCGUGCCAGCAGCCGCAGUAACAC